rnacentral:rRNA from 1 species
GAAGAGUUUGAUCAUGGCUCAGAUUGAACGCUGGCGGCAGGCCUAACACAUGCAAGUCGAACGGUAACAGGAAGAAGCUUGCUUCUUUGCUGACGAGUGGCGGACGGGUGAGUAAUGUCUGGGAAACUGCCUGAUGGAGGGGGAUAACUACUGGAAACGGUAGCUAAUACCGCAUAACGUCGCAAGACCAAAGAGGGGGACCUUCGGGCCUCUUGCCAUCGGAUGUGCCCAGAUGGGAUUAGCUAGUAGGUGGGGUAACGGCUCACCUAGGCGACGAUCCCUAGCUGGUCUGAGAGGAUGACCAGCCACACUGGAACUGAGACACGGUCCAGACUCCUACGGGAGGCAGCAGUGGGGAAUAUUGCACAAUGGGCGCAAGCCUGAUGCAGCCAUGCCGCGUGUAUGAAGAAGGCCUUCGGGUUGUAAAGUACUUUCAGCGGGGAGGAAGGGAGUAAAGUUAAUACCUUUGCUCAUUGACGUUACCCGCAGAAGAAGCACCGGCUAACUCCGUGCCAGCAGCCGCGGUAAUACGGAGGGUGCAAGCGUUAAUCGGAAUUACUGGGCGUAAAGCGCACGCAGGCGGUUUGUUAAGUCAGAUGUGAAAUCCCCGGGCUCAACCUGGGAACUGCAUCUGAUACUGGCAAGCUUGAGUCUCGUAG